rnacentral:rRNA from 1 species
UGGGGAAUAUUGCACAAUGGGCGCAAGCCCGAUGCAGCCAUGCCGCGGGUAUGAAGAAGGCCUUCGGGUUGUAAAGUACUUUCAGCGGGGAGGAAGGGAGUAAAGUUAAUACCUUUGCUCAUUGACGUUACCCGCAGAAGAAGCACCGGCUAACUCCGUGCCAGCAGCUGCGGCAAUACGGAGGGUGCAAGCGUGAAUCGGAAUUACUGGGCGUAAAGCGCACGCAGGCGGUUUGUUAAGUCAGAUGUGAAAUCCCCGGGCUCAACCUGGGAAGUGCAUCUGAUAAUAGCAAGCUUGAGUCUCGUAGAGGGGGGUGGAGUUCCAGGUGUAGCGGUGGAAUGCGUAGAGAUCUGGAGGAAUACCGGUGGCGAGGGCGGCCCCCUGGACGAAGGCUGACGCUCCGGUGCGAGAGCGUGGGGAGCAACCAGG